ensembl:lncRNA
GGAGGCCCCAGGCGGAGGCCCCAGGCGGAGGCCCCUGUGGCUCAGACGGCGGCACCGGCUCGGCUGUGGCGGGCGCGGUGAGGCGUGGCCCCCGCCGCUCCCCAGAGGGUGGCUUUGUCUGGGGCUGCGGCUCUGGGGCAGCGCGGGGCUCCCGGGGGGCCGUCCUGGGUGGCGGGGGCUUGUCUUCGUUCACUCUCCGGAGAAGAAAGCCCCCUGGACUCAGUGUCUCCCAAAGGCCCCAGGAGCCCGCUGUCCUCCGCGUGGGAAAGUCCUAGACCAGGUGGCCUAAUGACGGAUUCUGCAGAAGUGAAACCGUCCUUCUGAGGGAGGCAAAAAGGGCCCUGGGACAGAGCCCGCACAGGAGCCCUCAGCGUCCAGCCGCUGCUGUCCGAGCAAUGCUGGAGGAGCCUCCGGGCCUCCCUGAGCCCCACGUGCCCAGCUCCGCUGCAAGGUGAGCUGGCCGAGGGCUGGCCCCCAGGCUUGGGGUCUCAGAGCUUUUGCAGGAAACCACCCGGAGACUUGGCCUGCCAGGCAUUUAGAGCCCAGCUUUCUCGAUGCUCGUGGCUGAGAGUCUGGGUUUUCCUAAAGAACUCUCCCUGCCUACUUUCUCUGUGAAUAUAUCACCACAGUCUGGACACCCGGCUGCUAAAGUUGCCACCAAGCCUCUUUGGUAUUGGGUAAACGUCUCUGAAUAAUUCAAAAUAAGCUGCCAAACAAGGCACAUUCGUUAAACGUUGGGGAACAUUUCCAGUACGCAGCACGAAACGAGAGCUGCACACGGAGGGCACCCCUCAGUGCUCCGGCUGGAGGGGCUGAGCAGAGGCUGCGUCCCAUUAUUUGAGCUUCGUGGUCCCGAGUCUCCGUUGUUUUAUUAAUUUUUUUUAUCUACAGUUCUAAA